rnacentral:rRNA from 1 species
CCCUUAGAUGUUCUGGGCCGCACGCGUGCUACACUGAGUAAAUCAAUGGGUAAGGGAACACGAAAGUGCAACCUAAUCUUGAAAUUUGCUCGUGAUGGGGAUCGACGGUUGCAAUUUUCCGUCGUGAACGAGGAAUACCUUGUAGGCGCGUGUCAUCAUCACGCGCCGAAUACGUCCCUGCCCUUUGUACACACCGCCCGUCGCUCCUACCGAUUGAGCGAUCCGGUGAGGCUCUGGGACCUGGACGGAAAGAGCGUUUCGCUUGUUCUGUUUGGGAAACUUGGUCGAACCUUAUCAUUUAGAGGAAGGAGAAGUCGUAACA